rnacentral:rRNA from 1 species
GAUGAACGCUGGCGGCGUGCCUAACACAUGCAAGUCGAGCGUGAACCCUGCGAAUGAAACUUCGGUCGAUUUUGCAGGGGGGAAAGCGGCGGACGGGUGAGUAACGCGUGGAUAAUCUGCCCUUAAGUGUGGAAUAACGUACCGAAAGGUGCGCUAAUACCGCAUAAUGCCUGGCAACACAAGUUGUCCGGCCAAAGAAGGCCUCUGUUUACAAGCUUUCGCUUCAGGAUGAGUCCGCGUACCAUUAGCUUGUUGGUGGGGUAAUGGCCUACCAAGGCUGCGAUGGUUAGCUGGUCUGAGAGGAUGAUCAGCCAGACUGGGACUGAGAACGGCCCAGACUCCUACGGGAGGCAGCAGUAGGGAAUUUUCCACAAUGGACGAAAGUCUGAUGGAGCAACGCCGCGUGCAGGAUGAAUGCCUUCGGUUGUAACUGUCUUUUAUCUGUGACGAAUAUGACGGUAGCAGAUGAAGUAAGGAUCGGCUAACUACCGUCG